AUCUAUUUGAGACUUCUAGUUUUAAACAAUGAACGUUAGACUUAACUUAAGAGUUAAGGAUUUCAAAGAAAAUGAUUUUCAAGUGCAAAAUAGACACCCAUUAAUAAGCCAGGCAUAAGCAUAUUAUCAUAGAGGUCCAAGUUAAACGUUAGAUCUACUAGAUUCCUCUAGUCUAGAUCUAACGUUAGAUCUAUGACUAUACCCACUUGACUGAGUUCGGUUACGAGGUCGAUCUAUCGAUAGGUUGACCUCGUAGUCAUACUCAUACUCAGUCAUAGUCGUACUCGUACUCAGUUGUACGUAUGUGAUAUCAAGAUAUAGAUCUAGGGUAUUAUUACCUAGGAAUUUUUCAGAAACACAAUGCAUAACUUACCUGUAUAGACUAAUUCUGUGAGCCCAUCAUGUGUCACACUCAACUUGAAGUUGGCUGCUUUCUUUCGGAGCCCCCUCUUCUUGUUGUCACUCAUCCCUUCCGGGUAACUCCUAUUCGCAAGAAACCUUUCGAUGUUCCUGCAAUCAUCAACAAAUUGCUCAUCUGCCAUUUUUUAUGACUAUCGCUCAUACGUACGACUACGAGGUUGACCUACGACUACGAUGACAAUGAAUGCUGAAGGUCGAUGCUGUCGAAAUUCACGUUGACGUUAUCGAGUUCGCGCCCAGAUCAGCAUGCUGUGUCGCAAUAUAUCGUGCCGAGUAUGCACGUGCGUGCAUGCAUAUGAUAUACAUGUACUCUAUGCGCUUAUACUAGUCAGUAGGUUAUUUAUUUAUUUAUUUUUCGUACCGCGCGCGGGUAAUUCCGUACGAGGUUAUAAACCUUAUUAUUAAG